CUUACCCCGGGAUGUUCAUAACCCUUUGUUGUCCGACUCUGUUGCCUCCGGGGCGACCCUGCCUUCGGGCGGGGGCUCCGGGUGGACACUUCAAACUCUUGCGUAACUUUGCAGUCUGAGUAAACUUAAUUAAUAAAUUAAAACUUUUAACAACGGAUCUCUUGGUUCUGGCAUCGAUGAAGAACGCAGCGAAAUGCGAUAAGUAAUGUGAAUUGCAGAAUUCAGUGAAUCAUCGAAUCUUUGAACGCACAUUGCGCCCCCUGGUAUUCCGGGGGGCAUGCCUGUUCGAGCGUCAUUUCACCACUCAAGCCUCGCUUGGUAUUGGGCAACGCGGUCCGCCGCGUGCCUCAAAUCGACCGGCUGGGUCUUCUGUCCCCUAAGCGUUGUGGAAACUAUUCGCUAAAGGGUGUUCGGGAGGCUACGCCGUAAAACAACCCCAUUUCUAAGGUUGACCUCGGAUCAGGUAGGGAUACCCGCUGAACUUAAGCAUAUCAAUAAGCGGAGGAAAAGAAA
rnacentral:rRNA from 1 species